GCCAAUCAAUCAAAAUCUACCUUUUAUUUACAAUUUAUCUUUACAUUAAAACACUUAUACUUUAUUUUUUUAUUAGUUAGUAAAAACAUUUUUCAUGGUCCCACUUAACACUCUUUGGUGUAGGAAAUAACUCAUAACUCAUAGACAUAAUUAUUUCCCUGACGUAAAUAAACAUGUAGUCAUUUGUGGCAAGAAAAUCACUGGUUGAGAGCUUUUUUUAGCCGAAUAUGCAGCUACCUUUCAAGUUUAUUAGUUUAUUGGUAUGGGUAAAAAACAAUCCAAACCGCCAUAGACCAAUUAUUAUUAAUUCUCAUGGUGGGUUUCCAUUAACGGCCACUCGACUCGCAUGAUGGAGUGUAUGUAUUAGUCUCGUGAAAUUUUGUUCACACACAAACCACUCUCACCAACCCUAAUUCCUCCUCUUACACAACUCUGCCAACAAAGAAGGUCGCACGACCAACAAUCGUGGUGAUGACAACAAAAUCGAUCCCUUUUCUUUCAUCUUCUUCCAAACAAAAUUCUAUUUAUUUUUCCGUUUGGUUUAUUUAGGGGAAAAUAGUUCAACUUUUUGGUUGUAUGUGGUGGAAAGAUUGCUACAUUUUUUUUGCGAGAUUUGUAAUCAAAUUUACAAUAUAUUGAUAUUAUGCAUGAAAAUGAAGAAAAUAGAGAUAAAUUUUUUAUUGAUCAAAUAAAAAUAAUGAUUACAAUAAUAGGUAUAAUGAAAUUUAUAUAUCUAAGUUAGAACAUCUAAUUUAUAAUUAAGGUAACUAAUUUGUAAUUAAUAUUUGACUAAAGUGACUAAUUUUACAUAUUUAAUAUUCUUGCAUGCUAGAAGGUGCUCGUG
rnacentral:lncRNA from 1 species